rnacentral:rRNA from 1 species
UACGUAGGUGGCAAGCGUUGUCCGGAAUUAUUGGGCGUAAAGCGCGCGCAGGCGGUCCUUUAAGUCUGAUGUGAAAGCCCACGGCUCAACCGUGGAGGGUCAUUGGAAACUGGGGGACUUGAGUGCAGGAGAGAAGAGUGGAAUUCCACGUGUAGCGGUGAAAUGCGUAGAUAUCGGGAGGAACACCAGUGGCGAAGGCGACUACCUGGCCUGUUCUUGACGCUGAGGCGCGAAAGCGUGGGGAGCAAACAGG